rnacentral:rRNA from 1 species
CAAGAUAGCCAUGCAUGUCCUAGUAUAAGCAAUUUAUACAGUGAAACUGCGAAUGGCUCAUUAAAUCAGUUAUCGUUUAUUUGAUAGUACCUUACUACUUGGAUAACCGUGGUAAUUCUAGAGCUAAUACAUGCUAAAAACCCCAACUUCGGGAGGGGUGUAUUUAUUAGAUAAAAAACCAAUGCCCUCCGGGGCUCUUUGGUGAUUCAUGAUAACUUAACGGAUCGCAUGGCCUUGCGCCGGCGACGGUUCAUUCAAAUUUCUGCCCCAUCAACUUUCGAUGGUAAGGUAUUGGCUUACCAUGGUUUCAACGGGUAACGGGGAAUUAGGGUUCGACUCCGGAGAGGGAGCCUGAGAAACGGCUACCACAUCCAAGGAAGGCAGCAGGCGCGCAAAUUACCCAAUCCCGACACGGGGAGGUAGUGACAAUAAAUACUGAUACAGGGCGCUUUAGCGUCUUGUAAUUGGAAUGAGUACAAUUUAAAUCUCUUAACGAGGAACAAUUGGAGGGCAAGUCUGGUGCCAGCAGCCGCGGUAAUUCCAGCUCCAAUAGCGUAUAUUAAAGUUGUUGCAGUUAAAAAGCUCGUAGUUGAACUUUGGGCCUGGCUGGCCGGUCCGCCUCACCGCGUGUACUGGUCCGGCCGGGCCUUUCCUUCUGGAGAACCGCAUGCCCUUUACUGGGUGUGUUGGGGAACCAGGACUUUUACUUUGAAAAAAUUAGAGUGUUCAAAGCAGGCCUUUGCUCGAAUACGUUAGCAUGGAAUAAUAGAAUAGGACGUGUGGUUCUAUUUUGUUGGUUUCUAGGACCGCCGUAAUGAUUAAUAGGGAUAGUCGGGGGCAUCAGUAUUCAAUUGUCAGAGGUGAAAUUCUUGGAUUUAUUGAAGACUAACUACUGCGAAAGCAUUUGCCAAGGAUGUUUUCAUUAAUCAGUGAACGAAAGUUAGGGGAUCGAAGACGAUCAGAUACCGUCGUAGUCUUAACCGUAAACUAUGCCGACUAGGGAUCGGGCGAUGUUAUUAUUUUGACUCGCUCGGCACCUUACGAGAAAUCAAAGUUUUUGGKUCUGGGGGG